rnacentral:misc_RNA from 1 species
CUGAGAAUGGGAUUCAAGUCCUCUGUCUUACUAUAAUCUAAAUUCUUGGAUCCAUGCGAUCCUCUCUGCGGUCUACUACGGCAUAAUUACCCGAUCCUGAACUCGUCAAGGUAUGCGUUUUUUUUUCUUUGAUUUUCUUUUCUGGUUUUUAUUUUUCUAUGGCUCUAUUUGCUUGUAUAUAGUUGUAAUUUAGGGCAUGAAUUUUGAAUAGGCAAUCUGGUUAGGGUUGGUUGUAUUUGGAAAUUUAGAUUUGCAAUCUGAUUUUUCCUGGUGUUUUUUAUUCGCUUUUGCUAUUUUCUCUUUAUUGAUCAGAUACUCCUUGUUAGGGUUUCUUUCCCCUUGAAGAUUUUGUACGACGUUGAUAGUCUUAGGCGCGGAGGAAAUCGAGAGAUUCUAAUAGAAAUUUAGAGAACAGUUUCUGUUAUUUCGUAGAAGUAUUAUACCUGUUAGUUGCUGAAUUAUGACUAAGUAAAUUAACUUUUGAAUGCAAGGUGAUUAAAUUUUAGAUUGACGUUGCUGUUUUUGGUUUGAAGGUUGUGGGUAUUGGGGUUUUAGAUAAUGUCGAGUAAGAAGGAAGAGAAAGCUCAGGCUGCGGCUGAGAGGAUCAAGGCUGCAGCAUUGAGUGCUGCAAAAGGUCUUAGUCGUGCUCAGGCUGAAAGGGCUGCGGCUGCAGCUGCCAGAAAUGUCAAUGCUUAUGGGCAGAAGGAAGAAGGGCCUAGCCGAUGGCAAGAGAAAAGAGAAGCCAAGCGGCAGAUGUACUUGAUGAGUACAGAAAAACAAGUGAUAUUGGGUGAAAGAAAAGACCUCAAGCGUACUAUGACUGCUGUUGGUGGCACUUCUCAGUGUCAGAAAUGUUUUCAAACUGGACACUGGACUUUCGAGUGCAAGAAUGAAAGAGUUUAUAUGACGCGUCCCUCAAGGACACAGCAGCUUAAGAAUCCUAAAUUGAGGAUGAAACUUUCUAUCUCAUAUGAUCUUGAGAAUCCGGAUUCUAAGGAGGAGAAUGGUAAAUCAUCUAAGAAAAGUAAGAGGAAGCAUAGAUCAGAUUCUGAUUCUGGAAGUGAUAGUGAGGCUUCGGUUUUUGAGAGUGAUAGUGGGUCUUCGUCUGUGACAGAAACAGAAUCUUCCUCAGAGGAAGAGAGUUCAGAUUACAGCUCAUCAUCUGAUUCCGAGGAAAAGAGGAGGCGGCGGAGGAAGAAAAAGCAGAAGAAGAAGGAGAGGCGUAGGAGGUAUAGCUCAACUUCGGAGUCGUCUGACUCUGAUUCAGGUUCAGAAUCUGAUUCCGAAGAUAGGAGCAGCCGGAGGAAGAGGAGGCACAGCAGAAAGCGCUAAAUGAGGUGGUCAGAAGCAGGAUAGAUCAACGAAUCAUAUUGGCUUCACUGUUAUCUGCACUUUCAUUAUAUCAAGCAGUUUAAGCUUAUUAGAUGAGAACAAAAAUAAGUUAGCAGAUGUGUUUGUUUUUCAUUUCUGUUACUUCUCGCUUUGUGAUGUAAUACUGCCAGUUUUCUUUACAUGUUGAACUUGUUAUGGGUAUUUUGAUGGGUUUGCCUAUAUUAAUGAACUGGAUUUUGCAUGGAAUCUGGCUUUUUAAAUGGUACAUAUUUUGCUUCCUGUUUUUCAAUUGCUAUUUACGUCUCUCCUUGCUCUUGAGACUAUAUAAAUCAGGCCAUGAUAUUGUUGGGUAGCAAAGCCAGGAUGCUUUUAUAUUUCUCUCGUUGUGCUACUGUAAGAAUAGGAAACCGAAACGUUAAUGCCUUGUUGUGUUGACCCUAUAGCAGUAUAUGGACUGAUCCUUCUAUUACUCAUUCCCUUUGUUAUUACACGUGACCCGAGCGGCACUGUUUGUAGCCUUUAGAACAUAGAGGAACUCUCCACCAAGUCU